CUAUAUCGCGUUGAAACACCAGUUUUGAUAUGAUCAUCGUAGAUAAGCAACGUCGAGCCUGGUCAGUACCUAGAUGGGGGAACGUUUGGGAAGACUAGGUGGUGUAA